rnacentral:lncRNA from 1 species
AAUAUUCUUAUUAAAGUGUUACCUGUUUUGCUGUAUUCAGAGAGGACCAUGGACACCACGAACAUGAAUCUUACUAUGGAGAUCGGGACACAGAUAGUAUAGUUAAGGUAAGAUAAAUCCAAAUUUCAUUUAAGGGAUUAGGAUGUUACGUGUGUUUUUGUUAGUUAGUCUAGUUAUAUAAAAACAGGUAUACAACAUAUACAUAUACAUGCACAUCAUCAUAUCUUUUUGCUGCGUUUUGAGUAAGUAUUGAGCAAAUGUUCUUCUAAAAGUUUGAUACACAAGGAUUAUUUCUUUCUUCCAGAUGGUGGAUGAACUGGUGGCACCUAUCCACCCGGAGACCCACAAGCUAGAUUUGGAUGGUAUAUCCAACAAGACAUUGAAACAUCUUAAAAAGGCACCAGUUACAGGAGGUUGUAGGGUUGAAGGUUAUGUGCGUGUAAAGAAGGUAAAAUCAAUUCCGACUACUAAAAAAAAGUGAAGACAGAUUCAAUGUCCCUUCUGUAACUGAUUUGCGGCAUGUUUGAUACGUUUCAGGUUCCAGGAAACCUUAUUAUCUCAGCUCAUUCAGGAGCUCAUUCGUUCGACUCUUCUAAAAUGAACAUGUCGCAUGUUGUUAGCCAUCUUUCAUUUGGGAGGAUGUUUUCACCUAGGUUGUUGACCGAUAUGAGGCGCUUGUUGCCAUACAUCGGCCAAAGCCAUGACAAGCUCAAUGAAAAAGCAUUCAUUAAUCAACACGAGUUUGGUGCCAACGUUACUGUAAGUCCCAGCAUACCUAUUCUUGAAACCUUUACUGACCCUUAUCUAAUUGUUUCAUACACUGUACAGAUCGAACACUACCUUCAAGUGGUCAAGACAGAGGUCAUUACAAGAAGAACAGCUCAAGAACAUUCAUUGGUUGAGGAAUAUGAAUACACCGCUCACAGCAGCAUAGCUCAGACUUACUACUUACCCGUUGCAAAGUUUCACUUUGAGCUCUCUCCCAUGCAGGUUCAGUCAAUAUCUCUCUUAAAUUUCUUAAUAUAUAUAUACUCUCCUCUUUAUAAUUAACUCCUUGGUUGUUCUGUUUUUUUUGGCAGAUUAUGAUAACUGAAAACCCAAAGUCCUUCUCACACUUCAUCACAAACCUUUGCGCCAUUAUUGGUGGUGUUUUCACGGUUUGUAUAUUCUCAAUCUUUCUUCAUCAUACUACCAUAGAUUCUAUGGUGGUUUUAAUGUUGAUUUUUUUUUGUUUUUUAUUUCAGGUAGCGGGAAUACUAGAUUCUAUUUUCCACAAUACAAUAAGACUGGUGAAAAAGGUGGAGCUGGGGAAAAACUUUUGAUUGGAGACUGGAGGUUAGAGUUUACCAUUAAUCUAUAACACCAUAGAAGAACCUCAGACUGUUUUAUUUGGAACACAUGUUCCUACAGAGGAAAAAACUCAGAUAAGAGAAAGAAGUUUUGUUUUGACACUUAUCUUAGUUUCUUUAUGUUUGUUGAGAAAUAAUACAACCCAAGUGGAACUUUUUAUUCAUUUACCUGAUAAACAAAUGUUUAUAAAUCAAGCAACAAACACCAACUGAAAAAAGAUUGAAAAGAGAAGACAGAAGAGAAACUACUUAGUGUAGGAAUAGAGUGGAAGCAAAGGCAGCUACAAGAAGAGCAGCCACAAAGGAAGAAGAUGGGGAAGCUGCACUAUUUGGAGUUUCUUGAGUUGGAGUAGGUGUGGGUGCUGGUGUCUCAAAGGGUCCUGUCAUUGGCGGUGGAGAAGGAGGGGACUCUACCGAGGGAGCAGGAGCUGGAGACGGCAGUGGUGGUGAUGAUGCGGUGGUGUUUCCGUUUCUGUCAGCCAUGACGAUGACCACUAGCUUCUCGUUUUUCUGGCAGUUGUUUUUGUUUCCGCUGAUGAAAUAGUAUGGUCCAGAGUGUGUUAAUGCGAAAGAAGUUUUGCCAUCAGCGAACUUAGCGGUUGGUGCAUCUGUGUUGCAGCUGUCGUAAGCGUCUCUUGUGACUUGGAGAACUGAGUCUUGGUUUGGUUGGUAGACGAACACUGCAAUUGCAUACAUUGUUAGUGUGUCACAUGUGAAAUAUGGCUAUGAUUAUGGUUUAAUUAGUAACUUACGCAGAGAGUCGCCGAUUUGGAAUCUGCUUUGCUCUGCCCAUUGACUGUAAACUUGAGCACCUGAAGGGACGGUCCAACCUUUUGCACCACCUACCGCAAACUCUCUAGCGUAGGCCUCGCUAACGAUCAUGAACAGACACAUAAGACCGAACCCAUGAAGCUUCAUGUUCUUUAGGUCUCGAGCCAUUUUUUAAGAUGUAUGUAUGUGAAUUUAGUGUGUCAUAGGGGUUGAUGAGACAUAUGAAUAUGAUGAAAGGCGUUUGAGUUUAUAUAAAGGUGUGGCUUUUGAGGAAAUGUUGCAGAGAAACUCUUUUUAUUAUCUUUCUCAGAUUCUAAGCAAAGCAUUGCUUUCAAGAAGUGUUUUAGUUUUCGAAUCUCUCAUUCCUUGCUUCUCUCAAUAGCUUUUGUUCCUUGGUUCUGCAUCUUUGCUUUUGUAUCUAAAAGACAAAAGAGAGAUCUCAAAAAAAAAAAAAAAAAAANNNNNNNNNNNNNNNNNNNNNNNNNNNNNNNNNNNNNNNNNNNNNNNNCAAAAAAAAAAAAAAAAAAAACAAAAAUUGAACAAAACUCCAAAUCAAAAGACUAAGAUCUUCUUCAUGUCAAAAAAAUAGCUGACAUUGUUCUGAGCUUUUUGGGAUCUUCUUCAUGAACACUUAUAGAGACCAAACAAAAGUUAUUUCUUCAGUAAUUAACCCAUCAUUAGUGCGAAAGCCACUGCCAUAGCGAAAACAAGUGAUAUCAUACCACCCCUAUGUCCUGAGCUCUUCUUUGGGAAAUGUUUGGAAGCGCACACUCUUCUCCAUUGAAGAAAACUUUUGUCGGAAAACCGUCGCCUCCAGGUAUAUUCAGUCCAUGAAUGUUCUUCUUGGUGAAGGAAAUAACAGACUGUUGCUUCCCAGGCACGGCAGGGUCUCGUAGUGGAUUGGUUCCGUUAACUUGACCCACAAGAUAGUUCAAACCAGGCAAGCCUUGGAACAUAACAGUCCUAUUAUUUGGUGGAACACGUGUGCCGUUAAAUGAGUAAACGUUUUCAUACCCUGGACCUGCUUUACCCAUAUCAACCGCUACAAACCAAUCCUCAAACGCGAAAUCUCUCCAGUUGAAAACGGUUAACCUAGCAGUCCAACCGUCUCUGUAAUCAGUGUUAACGUGCCAGUUAAUACUGACUCCACAGUUAUCAGGACAAGGGAGUUUCUUAGGUAUUGGCAUGUGGUUUUGUUUGGCCCAUGCUUUAGCUUUUAGGGUUCGGUUUUUGAAUGGGACAAGGAGGGCGUCUGGAGGGAGGAGUAGCGGGUUACAGUCAGCAUUGCAAGUGUCGGUAUCUAUGUCAUUGCAUCCGCAAGCGCAAGUGUUACAAGGCACUGCAGAGUUGUUGUAAUAGGCAGAGAAAGAGACCGCAACAUCUUGAGGCCUGAGCUUUUGGUUUGGUUAUGUUGCAUACAACUUGCCAGCUGGCUAUGGCAUAUGUUAUAGCCGGUAGCCCGCUGGAAUCCGGGAAUGACGACGGGUCAACCCAAACUGUAACGCCCCGACCCGCCCACGGCUAAUGGGCCACCCACGCCCGCUCUCUCGGCCCGUGGGCCCAUCACGUCUGACGGUCGGUCCGUUAAUUUUUCAAAGGCUCGAAAUCAUUGUUUACUGACCCUGCAAUCACCACCCGACCUUUUCCCAUGCUUUGGCUUCACUCGCACGCUAUCGCGAAUCACUUCCCGAUAGGUCACCCAUCAUUCCACUACUCCAGCUCAAGCACGCUUAACUCUGGAGUUCUUUCAGGAUGUGCUCCGAAAAAGGUAAGUCAACUUUGGUGACAUAGGUAGCCAAAUCAAUUCUCUUAAGUCUUUUCACAUAUCACAACUCGGGAUGUUACACAAACGGCCAAACCGGUGGCCCGCAUUUGUACUGAGGAUUGAGAACUCCAUCGAUCUUCCAGUGUUAGAGCUGUUUUGUUUAGGUCAGGAGGCAACUUGAAAACCUAAAAAAAAUUGAGAGAACAAAAAUAACUUCAAAACCUUAAAUCAAAUUAUGAGAAUCCUUACCUAAUUUUUAUUUAUUUUUAUUUUGUAACGGUGUGUCUGGACCGAGGCCAAACUAAUUCUCAAGGGAACAAUACUCACAAGUAGUUCGGUUUUUAUUGUAAUGAAACCUAAGACAUGAUCCCAUGUCCGUUUUAAUUCCUGGUAGAUAUAUUGUUUUAGACAACAGAGAUUAACUACUUACCUGCAACUGGAACAUAGAUCUAGCUUUCCAAGGAUCCAUAAUAGGUGGCAAAAGAGUUCCGUUUUUGCAACAGUAAGGUAACUUUCCUGUAACGUUAUCUUCCUUCCUCUCAGGAGGCAAAUCGGAAAUGUCUUGCUUCUUCUGACAGUUCAUGACCUGAGAGAAGUCUAAGUCUUUGUAAUACUGUCCAGCUUUGCUGUUAAGGCAUUCAGAUGGAUCUCUCUUGUGAGUGUAAGCUCCUCUCAUCGUGUUUAUAAUCUCUCCUCGCAUCCAUUCCCAGGUCAGGUUCCAACGGUCCAACCGACCGAGCGGACUAUCGUUGUCGAUGGUCACUUGGGCUAAGUAGUUGCUGCCAAAUGAUUGCAGAACAUCGUAUACUAUGUUCAGAUCACCGUACCUUCUCGGUGCAAACUUUGUCUUUGGUCCGGUCUUGACCUUGAACUUAGGGUUUCUCUUGCAACAAACCUGCAUAUUUCCUCCUGUGGAAGAAAAUAGAAUCAUCAUGUAAAAAUCAUAAUUAUUUUUUUAUUCAAUCAUCUUUAUAAUUAAAUUCCCUUGAGAGAUUAUAUUCUCACACACUAUUUACAAAUUAAGGUCUAUAGCUCGUUAAUCUUUACAUAAUAAAUACUUUCUCUCACCUCGAAAGUUUAGACAAAUAAUAUUUAAUAUAUAUAAAAUGUUUAGCUCUAAUUAGUACGAAGCAUUUUGAAAAUUUUUGAAAAAAAACCCAAAAAUAAAUUUAUGCGGAUUUGUCUUGAACCCAAAGAAACUAUUGUACUAAUCGAACAUUAACGAGUUGAACAUAGCUCAAGAAAUCAACCACAUUUACUACCCAUAAAUUUCACAAACUUCUAUUUUCAGAUUAAAAAUACUAAAUUUUUAUGUAGUUAGGUCUAAGAGUUUUGAUAUCAUGUCAAAUUUUAUAAACUUACAAAAUCAAAAUAAUGUCUAAUAUAUAAUAAGAUGUUUAACUCUAAUCAAGUUUUGAUAUCAUAUCAAAUUUUAUAAACUUACAAAUCAAAAUAAUGUCUAAUAUAUAAUAAGAUGUUUAACUCUAAUUAAUCAGUACGAAACAUUUUGAAAAUGAGCUCAAAAAUAAAUUCAUUCGUGUUUACCUCUUGGACCCAGAAAGACUAUUGUACUAAUUGGACAAUAAGAAUUGAACAUAGCUCAAGAAAACAAUUACUACCCAUAAAUUUUGCAGCCUAUUAUUUUCAGAUUGAAAAUACUAUUUUUUUUUAAGUAGUUAGGUCGGUCUUGAUAUCAUGUCAAAUUUUAUAAACUUACGAAUCAAAAUCAAUUGGCUAUGGGUGCAUCAUUUCAAAUCCAUAAUAUAUAUCACUUAUGUCACAUCUGAUUUCCCAGAGUGAGAGUUUCAGUUGCACACUUUUUACAUACUAAAGUUCAUUAAUUUCUACGUAAUCCCAAUAGUAAACGCGAGACUACUUGAUGAAAGGAACAAAACAACUAAAAUGAGUGUUUCUAAAACGUAAGCAAUUACAUAAUAAAUGCAUACAACUAUAUUAUUAAAACCGAAGUACUUUUUGGUUUCAAUGGCUAAAUGUGUAAAUAAAAAAAAAUACUAAAAAUAUUACUUGAUGAAAACUGCUUUAUACCUCUCUAAGAUGAUCUUCACUCACGGCCAGUUGUACAUUGCGUUAUCUCGAGUGACAUCACCGGAGGGGCUUAAGAUAUUAGACGAUACCUCUUAAGUCAGAUGGAGCUGAUGGAGUAACCAAUAUACUCUACAAAGAGAUCUUUAAGGGCCUCCAAGACACAAAGGUUAGCAUUUUUUUUGCUAAAUCACAAAGGUUAGCAUUGAACUGGUUUAGUUAGUAUGCUAUUUCCGAAACGAUACGUUUUCAAUUACUGACCUCAUCACUAUCAUCGCAGGGAAAGAAGGCAAUGUGGUAUUGAACAAUUGUUGGCUUCGACCAAGAUAACAUUUUCGGCUGUUGUAAGCAUAAUAUUUACAAAGACUCGACUCUAUCUUCUCUUACCGUUUUUUAUUUACUACUUCGAUGAAAACCAUCAUCUUAGCGCUUUAAAAUAUAAUUUACUACUAUAUGCCUACUAAAUAACUCCUAAAUAAAUAGAAUCAUCUAAGAAUAAACACUACUAUUUAAUAUUUAACCUUACUACAAAAUGUAAAAAGAAUAAUUUACUACUUUUUUUUUUGACGUCAAAAAGCCAUUCUAUUACUCAAACUUGAGGUGGUCUGGGUAACCAAACCGGAAUAGAACAACCAACAAAAUGUAACUUCCUAUGAAAAGAUCUAGCAGUCUUAGCCAAAAAAUCAGCAAUCUGAUUGUGCGCACGUGGAACGUGAGUGAUGUUGAAUGCCGGAAAGCAUAUCUGUAGCGUCUCUAUCCUCUCCGAUUCCGUCGAAAAGCUUGGCCACGCCUGAAGAUCCUUUACCAUUGCAAUUAACUCCUUACAGUCUGUCCCACAGUUUUGGCAGGUCGAAUGUUGCAGCAUAUUCUCCAUCGCCCACCGCAGUGCUUCUACUUCCGAGUGUAAGGCUAAUUCGCGUCGGGGAAAGUUUCUUGUCCCCAUAAGCUGAGCGUUCCCAGAACCAUCCAUCCAUGCCCAUCCGCUCCCACUAAAGACGGCAGAAGACGUCCAAGAUCCGUAUAGCCAGCAAAUAUUUCCCAAGCUUAUGACUUGGAGUUCCUCAUUUAUAUUAUCUUGUGCCACCGCUUGUACCACUUCAUUAGCAUCAAACCAGGCUUGACAUUCACUCUCUGCAUGUCUAACCAGUUCCAAAGGAUCUCUAUCUAUUCCCCUGAAGAGUUUUUCAUUCCUGGCUUUCCAAAUGUACCAUAUUAUCCACGGAUAAGGAUCCCUAUCUUGCUCUGGCCCAAUGAUACUAUUUUUCCUCCAGAAUAGAUAAUCCGUAUUACUAUAGACACUCGAAACCGGGAAAAUAUUUGGGCAUGUCGGAGUUGCUGAUAAAGACCACACUUGAAGAGCUGGUGGGCAUUCAAAGAUUGCAUGUGUGAUGGUCUCCUCCACUUCUCCACAUCUUGGGCAAUAAUUGUCACACCUCAUAUUACGUCUAAUUAAGUUCCUCGUAACUGCCACAUGACCACUUAACAACUGCCAUAUAAGAUGGCAUAUCUUCGUAGGAGCCUUCAAUUUCCACGCAAAAUCUUGGAGCUUGGUAAUACUUGGCUCCAAAACUUCCUCUUCCUCCGUUAACUUUAAUAAAUUUUGAGCCACCCAAUAUCCCGAUUUGACCGUGUAAUGCCCAUUCCUUGUAAAGUUCCAGCAGAAAGUAUCACGACGGUGAGUUGAGCUUAUGGCCAAACUCCUUAUGAGAGGUAUAUCCUCAGGAUUAACAUAGCUUUCCAAUAGUCUCACAUCCUAAUAUUUCGAUCCCUGAUCAAUAAUAUCGCUUACUCUCAUAUUAGGAUGCAUCACUGGCGCUAUGGGGACAGCUGGCCUUGCGGGGUUCGAUGGAAUCCAUGGAUCCUCCCAUACCUUAACUUCAUAACCUGAAUGUAUCUUCUGUCUAAUGCCCAAUAAUAACAACUUCCUUGCUGCAGAAAUGCUAGUCCACACAUAGGAUGGACUGCUAGCAGCGUUUACUCUCAAUGGAGAACUCAAACUAUAAUAUCUUCCCCGUAAGACUCGAGCGACCGGAGAAUCAGGGAACUGUACAAGUCUCCAUAGUUUUUUAGCCAGAAGAGCUAGAUUAAACUCAUGGAUCAUUCGGAAGCCAACUCCACCCUCCUCUCUUGGUAGACACAGACUUUUCUCCAUUUUGCCCAGUGUAUCCCUCUUUUUGGAGGAUUCGAGCUACACCAGAACUGAGCGAUAUCACUGGCUAAAUUUUCGCAUAUCUCCAAAGGGAGCAGGAACGUCGACAUAACGUAUGUCGGAANNNNNNNNNNNNNNNNNNNNNNNNNNNNNNNNNNNNNNNNNNNNNNNNNNNNNACGUAUGUUGGAAGAGCGAGCAGAAUGGAUUUAAUCAGCACUUCUUUUCCACAUUUUGAGAGCCAUCUACAUGUCCAUCCAUUCACUCUGUGCAUCAGUUUAUCUUUCAGAAAUGCAAAAAGUUUACAUUUAGAUCCGCUUAUGUCUUCGGGUAUGCCUAAGUAUGUUCCCAUUCUUCCUUCAUUCUGUAUCCCAAGUGCAUCUUUAAUCUCUUGUCUAGUAGCUACAUUGAUCCGCUUACCAAAGAAUAAGGACGAUUUGUCGAAGUUAAUACAUUGACCAGAUGCUUUACCAUAUCUCCUGACUACUUUCAUUACUUCUUUACAUUCACGGAGCUCCACCUUACAGAAGAAAAGGCUAUCAUCAGCAAAGAGAAGGUGGGAUACCGACUUAUAUAAUUUACUUACAUGGCAGCUAAGCACUCACUUAUAUAAAAAUACAAAUCUGAUCAAAUGAAGCAUUCACACGAUAUUAGAUAACAAUUUCUCAAAAUAUGUUGUUGACUAAUUGAAAUACAUAAUAACUAAAGGCUUAACUGUUGAGCUUAAAAUUUGUAAAAAAAAUAUUAAGUAUAAAUUAAUUGCCACAACUGGAUACUCAAAAAAAAAAAAGAUAUUAUUCCCAUAUUCGAGAACUAUAAUUAUUAAACACAAUAUUCAAUAUUCAAAAAUUCGCAAUCAAACAUUCAUCGCCUAUAUUGCUUUUUUUUGUUUCUUAUUUCUCCAUUUUUCCUCAUUAAUAAAUUUAUAAGUGCCAUUAAUUAUAUACUUCCUUCGUUUCAUUAAGAUAUAAGUUUUAGGAAAAAAAAAGUUUUACAAAGAUAGAUUUUUGUAUGUUUUUAUACAAAAAUUGAAAAUUACAAUAAAAUUAAUUGGAUUUAUUAAAAGACUAUUGGUUAAAACACAUUGAAAUUUUUUAUAAUUUCAAAUAACGAUGCAUGAUUAAUCUGUUUUCUUAAUAUGUGUGAAAACACCAAAACAUCAAUCUUUAAAAAACAGAGGGAGUAAUAUAUAAGCAAAUAUAACCAAAGAAAUAUCACACAAAGGAAACAAACAAAAGCCAAAAAACAACCUCCAUUGUUAGUAAUAGAUACUUGUAUCUAAUUUUUUAGGACCAAAUCCGAUAGAUUCAUGUAUUUCUUAGUGUUAUAAAAUUAAAACACAAUAAAAACAUUAUAAUUUAGUAUUAAAACAGAAAAAAAAAGAAUGCAAUAAUUUUUAGUUAUAUAGUUGAAAUUUGUCGUAGAUAACAUAAUCAAACUCACACCCAACUUAACAUAAAAGAAAAUUUACAAAAAAUUACAUCUUUAAUAAAAACCGAUCUAUCAAAUCCCGCCCGUAGGGCGGACCUACCCUAGUAUUUUAUGUUAUUUAAAAAAAAAUUAAAUAUAAUAUUACUUUUUUGUGAACUUUCCGUUUUUUAUGAAAUCAUAUUAUAUAUACAUAUAUUUUCGUUUUCAAUUCUCGUUUUUUAACUUCAUAAAAAUUUUCCUUUUUAUAAUAUGUGUAUAUUUUUCAAAAAUUUUUAAAAGGAAACUAAAUAUAAAAAUAAAUAAUAGUAUUUAAAAUGUAAAUUAAUUUAUUAAGGGUAUCAGUGUAAUCAACAAUUGUGAGAAUUAACGUGAGAGCGACACAUAGGAAAUUGACUUCUGAAAUAAUAUUAUAGAUAUAAGUACGCUGAAUUUUUCGUUUAAACAAAUAUAUUUUUGUUCCUCAAAUUGAUUAAAUCACAGAAAACAAUAAAUAUCUUUAUAAAUAGUAAAAUUUCAAAUAUCUUUAUAAAUAGUUAAAUUACUGUAGUUGGCAACUUGGCAUACUCUUAAUCUCUUAUCCAAAUUGAAAUAUUCUUCUCAGCGUGUUUUUUCAAAAUCCAUCUUUAAAAAAUUAGGGAAGUUCUUUAUUGAGUACACUCGUCUAACUGAAAUGUGUUUGAAUAUAUCACAAAAAAAAAAAAAAACUAUAAUCGAACUUACCCUGAAGACAGGUGAAACUCUUUUACCUUUACUUAUUAAUAAGAUAGUAAUUAAUUAUAACGUAUAAUCAAGUAUUUUUAGUUAACUGGAAAAAAUAUAUUAAAUAUGAAGUCUAGGGAUCACACGAUCAGGUGAUGCUUAUAAUGAAACUACUAUUGGAUACUUGAUGUGAUUUCAGAUUUAUAGGAAUUACAUAUGGUUUCAGUGCACAAUCAUUUGGUAUUAUUUUUUUUUGUUAAAGGAUUUCGAUCUUUUGGUAAUUAAGAAAUGAGUAUCCAACAAAUAAAAUGUAUAAACCAUUUGAUCUUUACAAUGUCAAAAUUUUGGUUUGAUUAAUGGGAUCUGUUAUUGAACAUCCCUUUUGGCUUUACCAAAGACGAACAUUGCGUUUUAGUCUUUGUAUAUAUAUUUGUUUUGGAAACAGCUUUGGUCUUUCUAUAUAAGACCGUAAGAAGUCUUCGAAUUAUAUUAUUUAUCAUCAAUCAUGCAUUAAUUAAUUUAAUUUUUGUAUAUUUUUUAAAUCUGUCUCCAGGCUCUUAUUUAGUCGUGUCUUUGAGUUGCCAAAAUAUCAAAAGUUUGAGAAAAAAAUGAGUCGUCUUGAAGCUGAAGGAAGAGCCCCAAGUUGCUGGUGGCGCUUUGGCUUUUGGUUAACCAUCUUAGCUGGACUUAUCAUUCUCAUAGUUUGGAUAAAUCUACGUCCAACGGGUUCAGACAUUCCAAAAUGCUCAGUCGAAUACUUUUACGUUCCAGCCCUCAACAAAACCCUAAACUCACGACUCAACACCACUCUCAACUUCAUGGUUCGUCUAGCUAAUCCAAACAGUGAACAAGGAAUCUACUAUGACGACGUCCACCUUUCCUUCUCCAGCGUCACCUAUGUAUUCAUCGCUAACUACACGGUGCCAAGAUUCUACCAGGGACGCAAGAAGAAAGCCAAGAAGUGGGGUCAGGUUGUGCCUCUGAACAACCAGACAGUUUUAGAAGCGGUUUUGCCUAAUGGAUUGGCGAGUUUUCGGAUAAACCUGAAGACACAAGUGAGGUACAAGAACUCGUUUUGGAAAACUAGGAGGUUUGGGGUCGACGUUGGUGCUGAAGUUGGAGUCAACGGGGAUGGAGUUAAAGCUAAUAAGAAAGGGAUUAGGUUGAAGAAAUCUGACUCUUCUUCAUCUUCUUCAUUAAGAAGCUAUUUUCCUGUUUGUGUUUUGACGAAUCUGCUUGCUUUCUUUGCUAUUUGUUGAACUGUUUGGUGCUUUUGAUUUUCAUUUGCUUCUUUGUUGUUGUUGGUUUUAUUUACUCUUUUUUUUUGGGUCAAAUUUGGUUUUAUUUACUCUUUCAUUAGAAUUGCUUUGAGUUUUUUUUCCUUGAACUUUUAUUGUUUCUUUUUUGUAUUCUUCCGUCUUUUUCUUUGUAGCUUCUCAAGUCGACCAAGUACUUCAUUGAAUAAUUGAUCCUAUUAUUGUUUUGUUUUGCGCGGGAUGUGAUUAUUAGUUUCGUUAUUUUUAAGAAAAAGAUAUUAAAUCUGUUUAAUCUGGAUAUUCGUUCGGUUUUAAGUUUUGUUUUUGGUUUUUAAUCUUUUAAAAUAUAAUUAUUAUUUUAAAUUAAUAUUCAUUUUAGUUUAUUCGGUUAAAAUGUUUGAUUUCUUGUUUUUUUCCGGUAAAAACCAAAAAUUAAUAUUAUUUAUUUAUUUUCAUGUUAUGAAUUUUAGAUAGCCGUCAUGUCGAACCAAUAAUUUCAUAUUAUAGUUUCUAAACAGAUAAUAGUUUAAGAAAAAGAAAAAAAAAUUAUUAAGACAAAUCAUUUCAGUACAAUUUGGUUGGUAGUGAAAAAAGCAUUAAGAAAAAAAUUUCAACUUUCAAAAAAAUUAGAUUUUUCAGUUGUGAUGAAUACUUAGUUGCAAAGUGCUCACAUCAAGGUGCACAUGUAUGUGUAUAUAAAAAAUAUAUGAAAAUAGUUGACAAAUAUAUAAAGAUAUUGUUAAUUAAUAUUAAAUGACAUUUUUGUUCAAAAUAAUACAUGAAAGAUAAAAUUAAAAUUAAUUUAAAAUAAAAAGGCCUUCACAUUAGUCAUUUUUUCAUAUAAAGAAAAUAAAAUUGUAUCCGUAAAUAGGGGUGGGCACAUAUCGAAUAUCUGGGUAUUUGGAAGCAUUCGUGUCGAUUUGAUCUUUAGCCACCUAGAUAUUCGGUGACUCGGAUAUCCGAAAUAUUUUAGAAAUUUUAAAGAAUAUCCGAUUUGAUCCGUAAAUAAAAUAAAAUUUUAAAAAUAAUUUAAAAAUUUAAUAACAACAUUUUAUUACAAAAAUAAAAAAUUAGUUAAUUUUUUAAAUUCUAGUAUCUAAUAUAAUAAAUUUAAGAGCAAUUGCACCUGAUAUACACGGAAAAAAGAUUAAUUCGUCGGCUGGUUAUGUACUGUUUGAGGUUCUAUAUAUUCCAAAAAUAACCCUAUAUAUAGGUGUUCGUACUCUGUAUCGGCUACGAUAUAGGGAGCUAGAAAUUCAAGAUGUUGCUUUAAUAAUGAAUGUUGUCUACUGUAGCAAGUUAUAGAAUAUAUCGAACACUGCAAACAAUCCAGCUUCUCCAUUAUAUCUCACAUUACUAAAGUAAGAAGAACAUUUUUGCGGAGUCUACGAAGAACACCUCUCGAUUAAUUACCGGAAGAAAAUUCUUGUAGUUAUGGUUUCCGCACGGCUUGUUGACUGUUCAGAAGAACCUGAAGAACCAGACAUGCAAAAAAUUCCGGAGAUGAUGUUUGCCGCCGGCGAAGAACCAGUUGGGGUUCGAAUUCUUACUUAUCAAUCAUCCACUGCUCCACAACGCAUCUUAAAUGCGUUAGAUGAAUAGGAGGUUGAUAUUAUUAGGCGAUCUUCAUUUGGGAAGUUGAUAGAGAUAGCCGACAAACCCGUAUUUUCCGGAAGAUUUGCGCGAUAUAUGUUAUCAAGGCAGCUGAAGACAAAGAAAAAGCAUGAAACUUGGUUCCGAUUUGCAGGUAAACCGGUAAGAUUUUCUAUUAGAGAAUUUGCGAUUGUGACGGGAUUACCUUGUGGGAAUUUCCCGCAGAAGUCAAAGAUGAAGUUGAAGGCAACAAUAGCGGAGCAACCUUAUUGGCCAUGUUUAUUUGGAAAACUUGAAGUGGUUACAGUGUCCUCUGUUAUAAAGAUGCUCUACCGCAAAACGGUUAAAGACAGAGACAUCCGUAUUAGAUAUGCAUGCUUGGCGUUGCUUGAAUCAGUUCUUCUUCCAACUAGUCUUAAUAUGAAGAUAUCUAGAGAUCAUGUUGAAGCUAUUAAAGAUCUAGAUGCCUUUUUUCGUUUCCUUGGGGACGGGUAGCAGUUGAUAUGCUGAUGGCUAGUAUCAAAGAGAGAGAUGAGAUAGCUUUGUCUCAAAACACUAUCGCAUUAAAAGGAUUUGCUCUUGCAAUACAGCUUGUAAUGGUUGCAGCGGUUCCGGCGUUGACUGAGGUUGUGCAAGAUUCGUGUUCUUCAUCUGAUUCUGAUAGUGAAGAUAUUGAUGGAAGUGGGCGAGAUAUUUUUACAAAGAAACGGACUCUCAAUCCGGCACAUGCACGGAAUUUGGACAAGAGAACUGAUGUAAGUCAUUUUAUCUCCCAAUAUUAGUUGUUUCUUGUCUAUAUAUAGUAGAAACUUGCAAUUGGCCAUAUAUCUUAUAUUAGUUCUUAUUUCAUAUUUGGUUACAAAUUGAUUAAUGUAGCCCUACUGAAUAACAUAUUUUUGUUUGUGUGAAGGUUAUUGUUCAUAGCAUCUUGGUUCAAGAUCCAGAGCGACCUAUUGAUGAGGCCAUUUUAGUUCGGCAUGAUGAAGUUCAUGAUUCAAGAGUUGAUAACUUGGUCGAGGCCAUCAGGCGUAACUAUCAAUUCAAUAAUUCGUGUUUCCGCGGUGGGAUUAGAAAGAUUGAUGUUGUUCAUAUGCGAGAAAAGGUCAAAUCAUCUGCAAAGUGUAAGAAACCAAAGAAGGAUAUUACUACUUCGUCGGAAGCUGAGAACAGUGUCAUCGUUGACCUUGUGCUUGACAAAAUCAAACCUCAGAUUGAUGUACUGGAAUCCAACAUUAAGAUAGGUUCAUCUCGUGUUGAUGCCAUAGAGGGGGGUGUUCGUAAACAAGUUGAGACGUUGUUGGGUAAGUUUAAGGGGGAAAUGCUUUCAUCUCUUAAGGAUAUCGUUUCAGAAGUUUGUAAAGACCACCUUGCUGCGCAUAACGGCCCGGGAAAUUAUCAACCGUCUUCUCCGACAAAUUUAAUCGUUCCCAGAUGUCAUACCAUCCAUGUUGCCGACGCAAAUGCAAAGACAAUCGAAAACGUUCUACGUGACACUAGUCAAUACUCUACACCUCCCCGCUCGAACCGUAUAUGUGAGGUAUCAAUUAUGUUCACAUAAUUUUUUGGAAAUUUGUAUAACCGUUUAUUUCUUGUCUUAUGAACUAACAACUUAUUUUUAUAACAUUCAGUCCGUUAAUCCUACUCCGACGAAGAAACAACAGGUUGAAUCCGGCAAUGUAUGUGGAACUCCGGUAAUUCAGUCAGGUGCGCAAUCAGCUAAUAGCGAGAAUCGAUCGAGGCAACAGUCAUUCCAACAAAAGUUGGUAAGAUGUUUGAACUGUUAUCGGAUUGACUUAGUGAUCUAUAUUAUAUGGUAGAAUAGUUUUAAUUUAUUACAUUUAUUGUUCUUCUAAAUCAGACUCCGCAAAAUAACAAAGACAACAUUGCAGAUGAACCUUCCUUUUCGCUUGGUCUAACUCAGGAUGAACAGAUUCAAGAAGACAUCCCUAUUUUGGGACAAACUUGUCCUGACCAUGUACAGUUGUCUCACACGAAUGUGGAUGACAAUAUAGAAGGAAUUUCAUCGUCACGUAGAAGUAAGAGGCAAAAGACGGUUCCAUCGGGUCUUGUAGAGGAUUACCUUUGUGGGCCUCAUUUAUUGUCAAGGGCUAAGGAAUCUCAGAGGAGCAUAUUUGCGACACUUGAUAUUUCAGAGUUGGUAAGGAAGUUCACGAAUCUGGAGUACAAAAUGAAGUCAAAUUUGUAAGUUUUGUUCGUUCUUUGCAUUAACAUCAGUUGGAAAUAUUGAAUAUAUUACUAAAUGUUCUUUGCUUUUGGUUUUUAGUGUGAUCAACGUUUCUGGUUUAGCUGUGUCUAGAAGGGAAAUUCUGCUAAUUUGUGAGAGGCAACGAAAUUACACUGCCAAGGUAUUUUCCGGAUAAUAGCAGUAUUCAACUAUAUAUAAUGGUGGUAUAUUUGUUCUUAUAUUAUCUACGUCUACAGGUUGUUGAUAUUCUUAUUAGAGUUUUACGGUCGGUUAUUUUGGAUCAGUUACCUUCUGAAGGUUCACAGAGUGCUGAGUUUCUUGAUACCAAGUUUGGUGCUGCUAUAAUGAAGAACUUUCCCAGGUUUCUUAAGAGUAAGAACAAGGAGUCCUACAUAUUUCCAAAAUCAUUGAGUGGUAUUUUCCCAACCAAAGAAGCUCCAAAGGUCAAUCCAAGAAAGUAUUAUUUUCCUUUAAAUGUUGGGAACAAACAUUGGGUUGGUAUUUGUUUUGACGCUGUGUGUGGGACUGUCACCAUCCUAGAUUCAUGCUUGGCAUUGCACAAGCAGAAGGCGUUAGAGAAGAUAAUUACCCCUGUCAUACAAAUGUUACCGUAUCUUGCUAGAUAUGCUUCUCUUGACAUUGAAACUGAUCCGGUUAUUCAGUGUUAUGAUGUUGCUAGGCCAAAAUCAGUCGUCCAGAUUAAGAAUGAAGCCGAUUCUGGUUUGAUGUCUUUGCUCUUUAUGGCGAGGCAUGCUUUAUAUGGACCAGAAGCUUGUAAGAAUAUUGGUGAUGAUGUGCUCGUAGAGAAGAGUAAGAGUGCAGCAAUACUGGCGUAUGAGUUCAAGGAAAAGUUAUAGGGUAUGCUUGAUGCUGAAGUGUUUGUUUUUCUAAGUUUCCUUUUUAAUUCUUGUAAUGAGUUGGACUUGUAUAAUUGAGACAACUUGUAUGUAAUAUGUUGCUUGUGUACGUUUCCUUUGGACUUUCAAACUCUGUUAUGUUCUUGAACUAUUUUCAUAUAUUAUAUUUGGCUGUGUUAAAUAAUUUUUUUUAAUACAUUUCAAAUUGUUCUCGAAAAAGCUAUAAUUUAAAAUUAUUGUAUAAAUGGGAAGUAAUCCGGUUUUAAUAAUUGGAUUUUUUAGUUCAGUUACCUGAUUAAGCCAUAAGAACAUCCUAUUUAUGUUAUUAGAGGAAAAUAUUCUUAGUUUUGAUGUUGGAAAUACGACAACAAGUGUUGUUGUUGAUGUUUACAAGUAGUGCACGCGUAUAGAAAGUUGUGUGAGUUGUCUUAUCUUUCCUAUACAAUUUUCAGCUAUGUGUCGUGUUCUAUGAAGUAUCGAAUAUCAUCAUCAUACCUAUAGUAGAGUAGGCAACUUUGUCCUUCAAUUAUUUUUGUGGAUGAAUUAUUGGUUUAUCUUAUCCAUGGACUUGUUACCACAAUUCGUCUAUAUAUUUCGAUACUUGUUUACAAGUUAUCAUCCAUUUACUUACAGUCAGAAGGGAGCAGUGGAAUAGAUUAAUAUUGUUAAAAAUUUUGGUUUAAAUACUUGUAACAAACUCGGUUUCUAAUUCCUCCUUUUUAUUUUCUAGAUGGCAAUUCCACUGAGUGUAACUUUACAUCACGGUGCAUGGCGUUGUGCCGACGAUGGACAUUGGACUUUCCAUAGGAACCCAAGUGAUCUCGGCUAUACGGUUAUGGUCAAACCAACUGAGACGGUGGAAGAUUUGGAGACCAUUAUCCGUGAACGCUAUAAAUUGAAGCCUGAGACACCCAUGGUACUGGCCUAUCACCUACCUGAAUGGAUGCUUGAACCUGAGGGAACUCGUACACCGCCUAUUACAUUGACAACUACCCCACAAGUUGAAACGAUGAUGCAAAUCCGUUCUUGGUGGUCUGAACUAAAGCUAUGUGUUUCUUCGGGUGCUGAAAAUGUGGCUCAUUACCAGUUUCUUAGUCAAACUACUUUCACUAUAAGUGGUGCAACUUUUGUAUUCAAAGGUUAGAUAUAUAGUACUUAUAUAUUGAUACUUUCUAUUAGCCAAUAUUAAAAAAGUACAUUUAUUAAAAAAAUUGUUUUCCUAGGUUAUAACGAGAAAGAGCUUCUUGCAAGCAAUGAGGUCCUUGAGGAAUGUUUUAAAGAGGAAGAGAUGGUUCCAAUCUACAGGGUUCAUUUAGAAAUUGAGAAGGCAAAAUCCGAAGAAAGAGGUGCGCAAGGUUUGCCCUCCAUGGCUACAGAAGCUGAAGGUUAAAAACAUUUUAUAUGUUAAUAUUAAUUUGUAAGUUUGGUUUUUUAAUAACUGGCUAACACUAUAUUUGGUUAGGUUCGGGAUCUUCUCCCUCUGGGUCACAAGGGUAGAAGUUGAGGUGGUGAAUGUGUCUGAAACACUUUCGGAAGAAUAAGCAUGCUACUAUGGUUUGCGAAUGAAGUUGUAUUUCCUUUCAUCUUGUUAUCUGAAUAAAUGUUGGUUGUUGUUCUUAAGUUUCUAAAUUUCGUGGUUUCUUUAUUGGUGUGUUUAAAAUUUCUAAUGUAAUGUAUGCUGGAAAUAUUUAUGUAACAUAUUUGAAAAUCGUGUUUACUAAUUGUCAGUUUGGAAUGUAAUAUAUUUUAUGAAACCAGAAUAUGAACUGCAACUCUAUAGUAUACGACUAAUAUAGGACCGUCCUAAAAUAUAGAAUAUCGUUUAAUAUGCAUCAGUUUUGAACGACACUAUUAUUUGGUCACCUAUGAAAUUACUGGUGCAUGUCUAUAGUAUAGGACUCAUUAUGGUAAUAUCAUGUUGUUGUAUUAGUUUAAUUGGAAACCGGAAAACAUACCAUUCUUAUUAAGGUGUAGAACUCUUUUAAACAAUUACCAAUUAUUCACACCAAUAUGAAUAUUUGGGUCGAUAGAUUGGGAAGUUACUUGUUACGAUGAAUACUACACAUUUGUGCUAUGCUAUAAUAUAUAGUUAGUCUCACAUAUCAUAUAAUAUUACAAAGCUCGCUAUAAAACUUAGGCUUUCGUACUAAAUUCCCAUAUACUGGAUAUGAUUCACUAUAUGUCAUUGUCUAUUAGCUAUAAUAGCCGAUGGUUUUCUUAUCUAUGUUUUCAUCUUAUCAACUUGAACGAAACAAAGGGUAAGUCAGUUACUAUACAUAGAAGUCUUUAACGACUUAUAUAUUUCAAACUUAGACAUUGGCUUUUAUUUAUUUCAUAAUCUCGGGAACAAGUACAAACCUGCCUCUAAC